AUAGAGAAAAGAAUUGUAUACUCCAUGUGGUCCUUUGCUUUAUUGAUGUUGGUAAUUUUUGAAUAACAUAAGGAUUUGGGAAUUUAUAAUUGAAGUAGGUACACCAUAUUUACACUGUUAUUCUCAGUCUAUAGAUGGGCCCACUUUGUUUCCAAAAUCAUAGCAGAGAAUGGAAUUUGAAAACAGAAUUUUUGAGUACAUAUUCAGGAAUAUUUAUAAUGUCCCCUAUGAAGGAAUGUACAAUAGGAAAGUGAAAUACAAUAUUCAUUCAACGAAAGGUGUGUAGGUAAAGUACUGGCCUUUAUAAAAUUAAGAAAACCUAGAAAAUUGAACUGUAUGUCACAGGAAUUGACCUGGGAAUAAAAAUAUUAUCCAGAAGAAUCUCCUCCACUCCAAGUUCCUAAAUAAUUUCUAUCCAUGCCAUGCCCCUGACUCAUUUUCUCCAUUCAGAAGUCACUAGCUUUAGAGAGAUGGAGAACGAAAGUUUCCACUGUGUCACAGGAGACAUACCUAAAUUGGCACCCUCAAACCUGGUUAAUGUAAGGAAAGCUGUUUAGAGUCAGGCCAUGGCAGUUCUCAGUGACAAUAUCAUUAGGCUCUCCCUGAAAAAUCUCUUGUAUCCUUGAGAGCACUAGCUUCUUCUGUGAUGUAAUAAGUGUUGUCCUGACUGCAAAUGCCUCUCAGAUAUUACUUCAGUACCUAUAGGUUUUACUAAUUGGCCUCAAAUUCAGGGGAAACAGUCAUUAGGGAGGGAGAACAAAGACGAUGAAGAAAUCAGAGAUGGGGAGAACGAAGCUGGUCUUCUGUCUUGGUAUAAAAGAAGGAAGAAAUACAUCAUCCCUGAGAAAUCUCACUGAAGCCUUGGUAGGAGUGGAAUAUGAAAAAUAGUCCUGAGGAAGGAGGGACAACAAGUAUUGUAUCGUCAUGUCAUCUCAAGAAAAACUCUCAAAACUCAUCCUGGCUGACAAUGUAGAUUAGACGCAUCAGAUGAAAUGAAUUGAAAAACUCUCCUGGGAAUGAAAGUGGUAAGGAAAUCACAUUGAUGUAUCCUAAAUGCAGUGCUAAGAGCAAUAUUCAGACUAGUCUGUGGAGAUGCUGCUGUCAUCAGAGACCACAGACAAUUAGUGGAGAAUGAUUCAGCAUUAAACUGGGAAUGGAAGAUGAUGGUUGAUAUUGUUCUAGUAGAUCUCACUACAUUAAAAAGUGUUUCUUCCAGAUAACUGAAUGAUUAUUGUAAAGCAAAUCCCGGAAUGAACUUAUGAGACCCACCAUCAGCCUGUCAAAUAAUGUGCGAAAGAAGAAAUCUGUGUCUCUCCAGGGACAAAUUGUUGCUUUCAAACCAACAGUAAAGUGUCCAUUCUA